ACAGGAGCCAGUAGUAACCUACCUGUUUGUCAAUGAGGUUUCCUCCUCGUCAGAGUUAGUAACGAAUUGCUGUGUGUAGUCUUUGCCCAUCCCCUGAGAUGGGCCUUUUUUUUC
rnacentral:other from 1 species